rnacentral:misc_RNA from 1 species
GCAAUUCCUUCACUUUUCUAGGGUUUUCUGAAAUUUCCCAUCAAUUCUUUUCUCGAUUUCAACCGUUUUAAAUACAGUUCUGACGUGGGUGUUACGAGGGGAAACCCAUUUUUCUGAUUUUUGAGCUUCUGGGGGUUUCGGCCACCGAUGACAUAUAAUGAGACGGAUAACGGCCGGAGAGGAGAAGUGGUGGCGGAGGAUAUCGAGGUGGGAAUUGGAUGUGAUGAUGACAAUGGCGAUUAUGUUAGAUUGAGACAGAGCCCUUGUAAUUGUGAACCUGAGGUCUCCUCUGAUGGGGGUUCUUCUUCUCAGCCUUGUUCUCCAGGAAGGUCUUUGUGGCUUUGGGUUCGUUUGGUGGUGUUGUUCGUUUUCUUGGUCUCAUUAGCUGUUGUUUUUUUCAAAUGGGUUGGGCCAUUUUUCAUGAAUAAGGAAAUAAUACCAAUUAUAAAUUGGGAAGCUGAGACACUUAGUACUCCAGUGCUGGCAAUUUUUGUUUUCGGCUCAGUAGCACUGUUCCCUUCAUUGUUUUUACCAUCUUCACCUUCUAUGUGGCUGGCAG